rnacentral:lncRNA from 1 species
AACAAGAGACUCCGCAAUCGGCUUGCCACCAUGGACGAGUACAGGGAUUUUCUUGUAAACUGGGUUAUACUUCAAUAGCAGUUCACUUUUAUUGGUGAGGUCUUCUUCAAUAUACUCAAACUCCACGCCCUUUAGUUUCAGAGCCCAUAUAAUUCUGUAACUAAAAGGGCUAGCCCAGAAACCAUGCAGCUUCACAUCUGCCAUCGUUCCAAUGAGAUCAGAAUGCAAGGUCUCCUGCUGUGCCGAGUCCUCUUAUAGCGUCUUUUGGCUUGGGCAACAAGUAUUGGAUGCAAGAAACAUUUUUUUAUAUUGCAAGUAUUGACUUGACUUGGUCCAUAACUUUGAUUCCGAUUUUUUUUUAAUUUAACUUGGACAUCGUAAUUUGCAAGUAAUCCGUACGAUGAUUUUUUUUUUUUUUUGGGUCACGGUAUGCAGUUUAUUACUUUAUUUUCCUUUCAAGAAACUCUGACUACUCUGUAGAAAGUCACAUUCUUUGAACGUAUUCAUGCCUAGCCUUCGGAUUAGGUGGUGGAACCUGACAUGCCUACCAAUAUCACGAUGUUAUUGAAUUAAGAAAAGCAGAAAUAAACUAUCCGAGUUGCAACCUUUUUCUUUUGUUAACCUCUGCCAAAUAAUCCAUCGACUAUCUGAUUGAUCACUAAUUAACUACAAACUAAAUUUUUUAAUAUUGAUGAUUUGUAGUUUAACUUGUAAAAUUUUGAAUUUGUUUUUUUAAAGUUUAUUUAAUGUUAUAAAUUUUGAAAUUACUAAAAAUUUAUCUUAUUAAUUUUAUAGUAUCAUGACAUUAGUUAAAACGCUUCUAAACAAACUUAAAUACUCACGGUUAUAUAUAUAUAUAUAUAUAUAUAUAUAUAUAUAUAUAUUAUCUUUCUAAUAUGCUGAAAUUAUUUGCACUUCUUUAUAAUUUAUUGGAAUUGAAGUAGUGUAUUUUUAAUAAUUUUUAGUUUGAUAUUUAAAUUUUUAUUUUGUGCAAUUUACUUUUCUCAAGUACAAAUUAACUUUUAAUUACAUAUUUUUUAAAGGAAAAAAAAAGUUGAAUUUAAAUAUAGCAAACUAAAGCAAAAAUAUAGAGUGAUAUGGCUACAGAUUAAAAAUUUUAUUAAAACAUUUAUUUUAAUUCUCUCAUGUUUUUUAGAUAUUAGAUGACCAAUGUUUUAAAUUUAAAGACAAUAUAUUUUGAUAUCUAACUUUAUUUUUCUCUUUUGUGUAGUUGUUUUCUACUGGGAGGAAAGAGAAAGAGCUGUCGAAUUCUAACUUAGAUAUAGAAAGUUGUCACUAUGGAAGAUUCUAAUAGCCAAAAUGAUUGAUUUUUAGGUCAAAAUAUUUCAUAUAAUGAGAGGGUUAUGUUUAGGUGUUUGUUUACCUUAAAAACACCUCAAGCAACAAAUUUAAGUUCAUGAAGAAUUUUAUUUUCUUGUGUUUUUAGGUUUUGUGGUGAUUUAUUAGGUUUCUGGAGAUCAUGAAUUAGUUUAAUUUAAUUUUUCUAGAGUAUUUUCAAUAUGUUUUGAGUCAAAAGAAGUUGAAAAGAAGAUUUUGGAUGAAAAAACAAAGGACCUUAUUUUUAUAGCCACCAUAGUGAUCCGAUUAUAUGUUUCACAGGUGAAACGUCUUUAUAUAUAUAUAAUUGAAACGGACAACAUGUUGUUCACCUAGUUAAACUCUUUUAAAAAAUAAAGGCCUGUGUGCGGGCCGUUGCUUUAUUAGGCCAUGUACUAGGCCUAACCUUGUUCUUUUUAAAAAGAAAAUUUAGUUUUUUAAAAAAUAAUAAAUUAUUUGCGUGUAUUUUUUCAAAUAAAUUUUGGGUUUAUAUUUUAAAAAGAUUGUGACCAUUUUAAAAUGAUAUUGGGUGUGUUAAAUUUUUUUUUAGAGAGAUGAGUAUGAUUCAUCCGUGAUUUUUUUUUCUAAAUUUUAUAUAAAUUAAGUUUGUUUUUUUUAAUAUGAUUUUUUAUAAGAUUUUUUUAUAUGUAUAGCCUUGCAUUGUUUUUUUUAAUUAUUAUUAAGUAAAUUUUAUGUGUGUGUCGAUUUCUAUUAUAAAAUUUAUGUGUUUUUGUUUUACAAAUUUAUUUUGAUAAAGGAAUUCAUUAGAUAUAAUCAAGUAAAUUACUCUUAUUGCAAUGUUAGAUAUCUUGAUUUUUAUUUUUAGCUUGGUUUUUUCAAUUUUAUUUUUGUCCAUUGUUGAUGAUUUUUUUUUCAUUGCUUUACAUAAUAGUUACUAGAUUAUUUAAUUAGAUACAUGCUUAGGUUAUUUGAUUUACACCUAGGAGUUUUUUUAGUAUAAAAAAACACAUUGAAGAACUCUGUAUACAUUUUAUUUAUGUUUUGAUGUUCAAGAUUUGAUGUUUAUUCUUAUGAUUUUUAAAUUUUUUUUCUUUGAAUUUUUUAUGGAAGUUUCAUUGUUUUUAGUUUUAUUAUUCAAUCAAAGUUUAUAAUGUAUUGUUUUUUUAUGUUUUUUUUUUAUCUUUUUACUUUUGAUUUUUGUUCUUUUAUUAAUGUUUCCAUUCUCUUCAAUUUAGCUCUCAAAACUAAAAUCUGUUGUUGCCUUUUGAUUUAUUUUAUUGUAAUUUUAACACUUAUUGUUUUUAUUUUGGAUUUUUUGUGUUUUUUUUUUUGUGAUAUAGUUUUUUUUGGUUUUAUAACCCGAGUCAUGGUUUAAAAAGUUAGCAGUAAUUAACUUUUUUUUAUCUUAUUUGUUUAUAUUCAUAUUUUUUAUAUUUUUUUCUAUAAAAUUAUCAUAUUCUCAUUUAAUUUUUAUUUUGUUAACAAAUAAAAUCAUUGAGAUGUUUUUGGAAUAUUGUGAAGAUAUAUUUUUAUAAUAUUGGUAAGUGUUUAAUUUUUGCAUUGAAUUGUUAUUUUUUUUGUUUUAUUUAUUGUCAAUAUCUUAUUUUUUAAUAAUAUUAUUAAAUUAAAAAAAUUUAUUAAACUCAUUCAAGCCAAUUUUUUAAAUAUUAUAUUUAUUUUUGUUUUGUUUUGUUUUGUUUUAUUUUAUUUUUUCAUAUUUUUGACACCAAAACAAAAUUGAUGGCGGUUUUAGUUUUGGUGCCCAGAUAACCCGCUGGCUGAAUGGGCUUGAACUCAACCCUAAUAACUUUAUAUCUACCAUAUUGAUAACUGAACUGUGACUUGUGUUCAACGAAUGAGGGCUUUAAAUUAUUCAUUACAGACUUUUUUUUUCUUUUUCUCUUUUUAUUGCAGACUUUUCUUCCUGGCUGUCCAAAUAAAUGGAAAAUUAAAAUUUAUCAACUCCACAACACAAAAGGUCUUGCUUAGAUAACCCUGGUUAGGAGAAAAAUACAUUUCAGCGUUCUCUUGGUCCAUUCCUGGAUAACACAAAGAUGAUGGCCUUCAUCAACGAGUCUAAGGGUGUGUUUAUUUUUUUAAAAGUUAUUUUUAAGAAAUUUUUUUUAAUUUUUUUGUAUUUAUUUGUUAUUAAAAAAGUUGGUGAAUGAAAAACACUUUCCGAUCAUAUAAAAAUUUAGCUAGAUUUUCAGAAAAGUAUUUUCAUUUUAUUUUGGAAGAAAAACACUUUUUAUAAGUUGUAAAAUAUUUAAAAAUAUCAUAUUAUUUACUGAUUAUAUCAAAUGUGAUCCAAUCUUCACUUAAUUACUAACCUAUAAUUAGUAUAUUUUGUAAAUUGAAAUUUUAGCUUUAGUACCUUUCUCAAAGACAAGACUACUUUUUUUAUUUAUUUACGUGGGUGUCCGGGCCAACUUGUGCGCACCACGACUAAUCUCACGGCCCACUGAACAUCCUACAAGCCCAGUGAGCAUAUAAAACACCACGGAGGUGACAUGCGUGCACAAUGAGACUUGAACCCUGGUGCAGAGGAAGGGAACAAGUCCCUUCUACUACUAGGCCAAGACCUCAAGUGCAUACAAGACUACUUCUUCAUGAUCUGGCCAUUAUGAGAUUGGCUUUCUCAAAAAACUGGUGUUGUACGGAACUAAAAGAUCACGAAUUAACGAUAUUCAUGAUACAAACAAUGGCAUGAAUGCAACUUCUUGAUCCAUUAUCCAAUGUGGGUAUUCAUGUUUCUUGAUUUUGUGAAAUCAUAAAUGUCGCAACCCGGAAAAAGAUUUUUAUAUAAUUAUAAAGUUUAAGAGUAAUGAUCUAAAAUUAUGAAUACUAUAAAAUUUAUUAAUCUACGAGAGACUUGUUAUGUAAAACAAAGAUGCAUCACCCCCUCCCCUGGAAAACAGAUUUAUUGAACCUUGAGUGAAUUUGGAAAUAGCUCUAAUCUCAGGAUUACUGUCAGUUAAUGUUGAUGUAAACUAGAUGAACCCUCAUUAUGGUACUUGGGCUAAAAGUUUAUACGAAAUCCACAUACAAAAUCAUUAGCACUGUUAUUCUAUUCUGGGUGUCCCAUUCAAAGCAGACCCCUCCCUGUCCAACCAAAACGCCCUCCUGGUUCUUCUGUUUACCUUUCUUGGCUGUCAAGAGGCGUGGCAAAGAAGAUUAGCAUUGAUACCGUCAUGCAUGGCGUAUAUCUAAACGGCAACUUCCAGGAGAUGAUAUGUAUGGUCAACAUUAUUAACAUUAAUAAUGCUUAUUUAACCCAGAAAAUCAUGAAGUAAAUCGCAAACCGUGAGAAAUUGCUGAGAAACUUCUACAGAAAAAGAAAGAACAUGCAUCGCAUUAAUUAUUGCAUUUCUUAUCUCCAUAGUCAAGUCUUCUUUCGACAGAGAAUUGAAGUGAAUAUGAUUAUGUAAGCAAAUAUAUCAAUAAUGGAGGAAGUAAACCUUCUUUUCGAGGUAUAUCCCUUUCAUUAACUAAAUUAUUUUGAAUUUGCUGACCCAUCACACAGAAGCAAAGGCAAAAGAAUAUUGAUGGUCGGAAGUCUGUUUACAUUGUAUUAAAAUAAUUUUUUUUUCUUUUAAAAAAAUAUAUUUAACUUUGGAUCAUCAAAAUAAUAUAAAAAUAUAAAAAAAUAAUUUUUUUAAAAGUACGUCUGAAAUGCAUUCGCGGCCGCCCUCGAUAGCAAAUGUGUACUGCCCACAGCCCAAGCAAGACUCUUUCAUUAAAAAUCAGCACUAUAAAUGACAAUGGCAGGUAAAGAACAGUCACCGUACAAAUCCCUUGGUCAUGGCGGAGGUAGUGAAGCUGCUCGGAGCAUUGUCCAGCCCAUUUGUUUUCCGAGUGAUAUGGGCUCUAAAAAUGAAGGGCAUUCCAUAUGAGUUCAUAGAAGAAGAUGUUACCAGCAAAAGUCCUCUGCUUCUGAAGAAGAACCCUGUUCUUAAGAAGAUCCCAGUGCUUCUCCAUGGCGAAAAACCAGUUUGCGAGUCCAUGAUUAUUGUCGAAUACAUUGAUGAGAUAUGGCCCCAAAAUCCCUUGUUGCCCAAUGACCCUUACGAGAGAGCUCUGGCUCGUUUCUGGGUCAAAUUUACCGGCGAUAAGGUAAAGAGUACAGGCAUCAUUUUACAUUACAUCAAAUAUUACUAUGAAACCGAGUUCUGGGCUUUAAAAAAAAACUGGUUUCUGCUGAUUUGGUUAGUUCAUGAUCAAUGAUGAAUCAUUAGGUUGACUUGCCGAGCUGUUCUGAUAAAAUUGAUUAACGGAAAGAAAGUAAAUGGAAAGGAAUAUAAAAGAAAUACAACAGUGUUUACACACCAAACCGAAAUUAAUGCAAUAGCUGCAUCAACCAUUAUGGAGUGUAUUACAGUAGAAAAACAAGCUCAACUACAAGAGAAAAACCAUCCAUGGAAACGAAAAGGCGAGGCAUACAUGGAAUAUUUCGCAUCCAAAAGCAUAAUCUAGGCUACUUGUUCAUCAUUUUCUCCCUGACACUUUUCAUAUGGAGGAGCAUCUUAUCAUUGUCAGGAAUGUUUUCUUUAAUCAGAGGAACUUCAAGGAAAUUCUGGGCCCAAGCAUGCAAUCGAGGCAGUGUGCUUGGUUCAAGAACUUUCACACCCGCUAGUUCUUCAAUGGCUGCAAACCAAUAAGCGAAGAGUCCAUAUGAGAUGUCAACUAGAUUUAUGCUGUCACCGCCAAAAAACUUCUUGUCCCCGAGACCUUGCUCUUCUAAGACUCUCAACACUUCCACCACUUCUUUCACUGCCUUCUCUAGCUCCUCUCCACUAGCUCGGAAAAGGGCAACCAAGGCAGCACCCUAAAUUAUGAAAGAAUUCAAUUUACAUGUCACAGAACAGAGAUAAAUGAAUAGAUAUUUGAAGGUGUUUAGCCUGAGGAGAGUAAAAAUAAAAGAAGGCAAGUUGUGAUAAAUUUUUAAUUAUUAUUCCACUUUAAGAACAAGAAGAAGAAAAUGUUUUUUUGGAAUCAAUUGUUUUUUCCAGGACUGCUACCAGAUCAAAUUAAACAUUGUGGGCCUCAUGAACAGUUACAAAAUAUAUACAAGAAGAUGGAUCUUGUUACCUUGGUAGCUCCAUAUUGAAUCCAAAACCGAGCCAUGGCUCUCUCGUAAGGAUCAGUCGGUAGCAGUGGAUUCUCCGGCCAUGUUUCCUCAAUGUAUUCAAGGAUAACAAGAGACUCCGCAAUCGGCUUGCCACCAUGGACGAGUACAGGGAUUUGCUUGUAAACUGGGUUAUACUUCAAUAGCAGUUCACUUUUAUUGGUGAGGUCUUCUUCAAUAUACUCAAACUCCACGCCCUUUAGUUUCAGAGCCCAUAUAACUCUGUAACUAAAAGGGCUAGCCCAGAAACCAUGCAGCUUCACAUCUGCCAUCGUUCCAAUGAGAUCAGAGUGCAAGGUCUCCUGCUGUGACGAGUCCUCUUAUAGCGACUUUUGGCUUGGGCAACAAGUACUGGAUGCAAGAAACAUUUUUUUAUAUUGCAAGUAUUGACUUGACUUGGUCCAUAACUUUGAUUCUGAUUUUUUUUAGAUCUGUUUGUUUGCAGGAAUUUUUUUUGAAAAAUAAAUUUUGAAAAAAGUGAAUUCUAGAAAAGUAAAUUUCGAGAAAGUAUUUUUCGAUGUUUGGUAGUGUAAUGAAAAACGAACUGGAAAACACUUUUCAGUUUUUUGUUAUGUUAUGGAAAAUAAAUUGGAAAAUAAUUUAUUAAUGAAUUAAAUUUUUUUUUUAAAGUUAUCUAAUAUAUGAAAAAUAUUAAAUAUAAAUAUUUAAUCUAUUAAUUUUAUAAAAUAUAACUAUAUAUGUCAUAUAAUAUUAUAGAGAUAUAACCUUGUGAAAUUUUUCAUAAAUAAAACCUAUUAAUUAUUUUUUUUCAAUUUUAAAAGCUUAAAAUAUGUUUUUUUUUCAUAUGAAUAAAGCCAAAUUAGUUUAUAAUGGUUAUGGAAAUGAUAUCUGAUUCCCUAAACAAAUAAGGUCUUAAAAUAUAUUAUUUAAGAUCAUAAAAUUCAAUUUCUCGAUGAUAAAACCGUUUUGAAAAUUAUACAAUUCAUAAGUUCACAAUAAUCAAUAGACAUUGCACAAUGAAAUCCAUAUAAUUACCGGUAUAGACCCACAAAUUUAUUCAUAUGUAACAAAUAUAAUCAAACACUAAUCAUAUAUUAAUCAAAGCAAAUUAAAACACAUAUUUAUGUUUAUUCUUCUGUUAUAAUUCCUCUUAUUAAUGUAACAUGUAUUUAAACAUCCCCACUUCCCUUGUUUUGCAGGUUAAAACUCUCAUCAUCUCUUGCAUUUCCCUUACAAACACGCAACCUUCCCCAUGUUUUGCAGGUGCUCAUGAGACUAAAUUCAAUGGCUACCUUCAACGGCUUAAUCUACAAAGCCUAGUAAUCAGCCAUGAAAAGACCCAUAAUCCUUCAAAGCUUCCUUCCUUUGACUUCACAAGUAUAAAAUUAAACUUAUAAUUCCAUUCCCCUCUCCCAUUCCCCCCCUCUCUUGAUCGAUUCCCCUCUCCCAUUCCCCUGUUCCCUCUCCCCCUCCCUCUCGGUCGAUUCCCCGUGUUCCCUCUCCCUCUCAGUCGAUUCCCUUCUCGGUUUCUCUCAUUCCCCUUCCCUUAUUCCCUCUCCCAGGGGCAACAGGGCUCCUAUUUCCCAGUUCUCCUCCCUCCCUCCCCCGGCUACUGUUAAAAAAAAGACAGAGAGCAAGGGUUGAUUUUCAACACUUCCACUCGGGAUAUGGUGGCUGGAUCCGGGGAUGGGGUAACAGGGAGGGGAUUCUUUUUGCUAUGGAAGAUUGAUUAACACAGUUCGGGGAUUUUCAAGUGCCUCUCUUCGUGCACUUGAUUUGGUUUGUCUGGUUAGAAUAAAACUGCUGAAUGUGAGUGAUGAAGAAGAAAACUGUCAUGGAAAAAUUGUGUUUUUUGUGGCUUGCUUGAUGAAUUUUAGUUGUGUUAUGGAAAACAUAUGAUAGGUAGCAGAUGCUUCUACAAUAGUUCCUGCUUCCAAUCGUUUUUGAAGAGAGAGAGACCGUGAUUUACGAAAAUGAGUGUAAUGAAAAAAAAAAAGUGUUUUCCUUUCUUUAUCAGAAGGAAAAUACUUUCCUUUGAUAAAACAACUUUUUUAUGUUGAUGGGAUUAAGAUUUUAUUGAUUAUUUUUUCAUAUUGUUACCAAACAUGAAAAAAUAAGGAAAAUAAAUUUUAGGAAUUCGUUUUCCUUGAAACAAACAAGGACUUAAUUUAACUUAUACAUCGUAAUUUGCAAGUAAUUCAUACGAUGAACUUGUUUUUUUUUUUUUGUCACGGUGUGCAGUUUAUUUUCCUUACAAGUUGCAAGAAACACUGACUAGUCUGUAGAAAGUUACAUUCUUUGAACGUGUUCAUGCCUAGCCUUCGGAUUAGGUGGUGGAUAUGGACACACGUAGUCAUGAACCUGUCUGGCUUUCGAACUUCGAAGAAAUCUCAGUGCCCAUCUCCAAGACCUGACAUGCCUAUCACUAGGGGUGUGCAAAAAAACUGGAAAACCGAAUAAACCGAGAAAACAAAAAAAAAUUAACUGAAAAAACCGAACCGAAAAAAAAAACACUGAUUAAACCGAUUAUAAUAGUUAGAAAAAAUCCCGGUUCAAUUCGGUUUUCAGUUUUGUAAUGCAGGAACCGGUUAACCCGGACCGAACCGAACCAGUUCAAAUAAAAAAAAUGGUACUAUAAAUACCUUCCAAACCCAUCUACAGUUCUACAUUUCAGUCUCUUCUUCUAAGUUUCUAACCUAGCCCCCCCUCACUCCCUCUUGAUUAAAUCUUCAUCUACUCUAUUCUCUCCCACCUUCAGUCUCUUCUUCUAACCUAGCAAACCUAGCUGCCGCCCCCCCCUCACUCCCUCUUGAUCAAAUCUUCAUCUCUAUUCUCUCUCAUCUAAAUAUAUGCUUUGUAGCUUCUUGUUCUAACCCUAGCAAAUCUAGCCGCCGCCCCUCCCUCUUGUUCAAUCUCUCGAUCAGAUCUUAAUCUCUCCCAUAUAAAGAUCUACUUUUUAGUUUCCUCUUCCAACCCUAGCAAACCCAGUCGCCGCCCCCUCCCUCUUAUUCAAUCUCUCAAUCAAAUCUUCAUCUCUCAAUUAUCUGUCUCUAAAUCAAAAUUAGCAGUCGUUCCUUCAAGUUCUUUGUCUCUCCAAGUUGGAUGACAAAUUUGAUGCUUUCUAUUUUCUUUUCUAAAUUGUUUUUUUUUUUAGUUUUUAUCAGUUUAUAUUAACCUAUUUUGUUAAACUUUUCAGGUGAACUAUUCAAGAGAACCAGAUGCACUUUUAAUGUCCAUGUCGUGAGAAAGAUAGUUGAUGCAUUUUAUUUCAAUUUCAAGGACUCCUGCAGAUUGUAUUUCUUUAAUUUUAUUAGAGGCAUUGUUUUCUUGGUUUGUGUUAUUUUAUGUAUAAUUUUAUUUUGGAUUUUGAUUAGAGUUGAUUGGUUUGAGAAAACUACUGGGUGCAAAUUAAAAAUAUUUCGCCUAUUAUUUGAGAUAAAUCUUGGUAAAGGAAAGUAAAACAAUGAAUAUAGGUUUUUUAUAUUUGAUUAUAAAUUUACAAGCCUUUUAAAUGACCCCAUCAAAAGUCAUAAAAAGCCAAAAAAAAUUGAACUGGUUUUUCCGGUUUUUCUCUUUAAUUAACCGAACCAAACCGAAUCGAAAUUGAUCGGUUUGAACCGGUUUCGUUUUUUUAAAAAAAAAAAUAAAAUUGAUUUAGUUAUUUUUUUAAAUAAAAACCGGACUGAACCGGAAAUGCUCACCUCUACCUACCACUAUCACGAUGUUAUUGAAUGAAGAAAAGCAUAAAUAAACUAUGCCUGAUUUGACAAACUUUUUUUUUUUUAAUCCCUGCCAAACCAUCCAUCGACUAUCUGAAUUCAAAAGUAUCAGCUUUUUUAAUAUUGAUGGUUGUAAUUUCACUUGUAAAAUUUUGGAUUUUUUUUUAAAAAUUUAUUACUUCGAGUGUUAUAAAUUUUGAAAUAACUAGAAAUUUACCAUACUGAUAACUGAACUGUGACUCGUGUUCAGCAAAGGAGGGCUUUAUAUUAUUCAUUGCCGACUUUUCUUUUCCUUUUCUCUUUUUAUUGCAGACUUUUCUUCUUGGCUGUCCAGAUAAAUGGAAAAUUAGAAGAGGAGCAGUCAAAGUUAGGCUGCAUGAUUUGACGAAGGUUUUUUUCUGCCCCCUCUUAUCCAUGGCCGCCUCUGUUCAAGCUGAGAUUGCCCUUGGAAAUCCUAACUAAGAUGCACAAAUUGAAAAACUCAAUUCCAUGGCGAGUCUCCAGUUUGCUUAACUGCUUAGCUUGCUUUCAUACAGAUCACAGAGAAUUUACUCCUGGCUCUACGCACUGGUCUUUCCAACAGACAAGGAGAAAUCGAAAAACAAAUAACAAUGAUCGCAAGUUUUAUGGAUAUCACCAAAAUGAUCUAACAUCACUGGAUAUUCUAAGCUUGCAGCCUGAUUAAAAUUUAUUGACUCCACAACACGAAAGGUCUUGCUUAGAUAACCCUGGUGAGGAGAAAAAUCCAUCCAGCGUUCUCUUGGUCCAUUCAUGGAAAACACAGAGAUCUAGACUUCCAGAGAUCAUGGCCUUCAUCGACGAGUCUAGGAGAAACAUCUGCCUUGAACGUUCUAGAUGUUUAUAACUCAAAACCCUUCGAAUAAAAAACUUUUGUUAUAAAGAAGAGAUUCAAACACAAAAUAUCUUGCAGAAACCCUUUGAAUAAAAACUUUUCUUAUGAAGAUGUUCGAGCACAAAAUAUCUUGCAGAAGAGGUAAACAACAAAAGAGUUUCAAUCCUCAUGUCCACUAUAAUUAGUAUAUUUUGUAAAUUGAAAUUUUAGCUUUAGUACCUUUCUCAAAAACGAGACUACUUCUUCCUUUAUCAUGAUCUAGCCAUUAUGAGAUUGACUUUCUCAAAAGGCGUGGCAAAGAAGAUUAGCAUCGAUACCGUCAUGCAUGGCGUAUAUCAAAACGGCAACUUCCAGGAGAUGAUAUGUAUGGUCAACAUUAUUAACAUUAAUAAUGCUUAUUUAACCCAGAAAAUCAUGAAGUAAAUCGCAACCUGUGAGAAAUUGCUGAGAAACUUGUAUAGAAAAAGAAAGAACAUGCAUCGCGUUAAUUAUUGCAUUUCUUAUCUCCAUAGUCAAGUCUUCUUUCGACAGAGAAUUGAAGUGAAUAUGAUUAUGUAAGCAAAUAUAUCAAUAAUGGAGGAAGUAAAGCUUCUUUUCGAGGUAUAUCCCUUUCAUUAACUAAAUUCUUCUGAAUUUGCUGACCCAUCACACAAAAACACAGGCAAAAGAAUUUUGAUGGUCGGAAGUCUGUUUAUGUUGUAUUAAAAUAUUUUUUUUUAAAAAAUCUAUAUUUAACUUUGGAUCAUCAAAAUAAUAUAAAAAUAUAAAAAAUUAAUUUUUUUAAAAGUACCGUUUGAAAUGCAUUCGCGGCUGCCCUCAAUAGCAAAUGUGUACUGCCCACAGCCCAAGCAAGACUCUUUCAUUAAAAAUCAGCACUAUAAAUGACUAUGGCAGGUAAAGAACAAUCACCAUACAAAUCCCUUGGUCAUGGCGGAGGUAGUGAAGCUGCUCGGAGCAUUGUCCAGCCCAUUUGUUUUCCGAGUGAUAUGGGCUCUCAAAAUGAAGGGCAUUCCAUAUGAGUACAUAGAAGAAGAUGUUACCAUCAAAAGUCCUCUGCUUCUGAAGAAGAACCCUGUUCUUAAGAAGAUCCCAGUGCUUCUCCAUGGCGAAAAACCAGUUUGCGAGUCCAUGAUUAUUGUCGAAUACAUCGAUGAGAUAUGGCCCCAAAAUCCCUUGUUGCCCAAUGACCCUUACGAGAGAGCUCCGGCUCGUUUCUGGGUCAAAUUUACCGACGAUAAGGUAAAAAGAGUACAGGCAUCAUUUUACAUUACAUAAAAUAUUACUAUGAAACCGAGUUCUGGGCUUUAAAGAAAAAUUGGUUUCUGCUGAUUUGGUUAGUUCAUGAUCAAUGAUGAAUCAUUAUGUUGACUCGAGCUGUUCUAAUAAAAUUGAUUAAGGGAAAAAAAGUAAAUGGAAAGGAAUAUAAAAGAAAUACAACAGUGUUUAUACACCAUUCCGGAAUUUAAUAAAAUAGCAGCAUCAACCGACAACCAUUAUGGAUUGUUACAGUAGAAAAACAAGCUCAACUACAAGAGAAAAACCAUCCAUGGAAACGAAAAGGUGAGACAUCCAUGGAAUAUUUCGCAUCCAAAAGCAUAAUAUAGGCUACUUGUUCGUCAUUUUCUCCCUGACACUUUUCAUAUGGAGGAGCAUUUUAUCAUAGUCGGGAAUGUUUUCUUUAAUCAGAGGAACUUCAAUGAAAUUCUGGGCCCAAGCAUGCAAUCGAGGCAGUGUGCUUGGUUCAAGAACUUUCACACCCGCUGCUUCUUCAAUGGCUGCAAACCAAUAAGCGAAGAGUCCAUAUGAGAUGUCAACUAGAUUUAUGCUGUCACCGCCAAAAAACUUCUUGUCCCCGAGACCUUUCUCUUCUAAGACUCUCAACACUUCCGCCACUUCUUUCACUGCCUUCUCUAGCUCCUCUCCACUAGCUCGGAAAAGGGCACCAAAGGCAGCACCCUAAAUAAUGAAAGAAUUCAAUUUACAAGUCACAGAACAGAGAUAAAUGAAUCGAUAUUUGAAGGUGUUUAGCCUGAGGAGAAUAAAAAUAAAAGAAGGCAAGUUAUGAGAAAUUUUUAAUUAUUUUUCCACUUUAAGAACAAGAAGAAGAAAAUGUUUUCUGGAAUCGAUUGUCUUUUUCCAGGACUGCUACCAGAUCAAAUUAAUCAUUGUGGGCCUCAUGAACAGUUACAAAAUAUAUACAAGAAGAUGGAUCUCGUUACCUUGGUAACUCCAUAUUGAAUCCAAAACCGAGCCAUGGCUCUCUCGUAAGGAUCUGUCGGUAGCAGUGGAUUCUCCGGCCAUGUUUCCUCGAUGUAUUCAAGGAUAACAAGAGACUCCGCAAUCGGCUUGCCACCAUGGACGAGUACAGGGAUUUUCUUGUAAACUGGGUUAUACUUCAAUAGCAGUUCACUUUUAUUGGUGAGGUCUUCUUCAAUAUACUCAAACUCCACGCCCUUUAGUUUCAGAGCCCAUAUAACUCUGUAACUAAAAGGGCUAGCCCAGAAACCAUGCAGCUUCACAUCUGCCAUCGUUGCAAUGAGAUCAGUAUGCAAG